rnacentral:rRNA from 1 species
AUACGUAGGUGGCAAGCGUUGUCCGGAAUUAUUGGGCGUAAAGCGCGCGCAGGUGGUUCCUUAAGUCUGAUGUGGAAGCCCCCGGCUCAACCGGGGAGGGUCAUUGGAAACUGGGGAACUUGAGUGCAGAAGAGGAUAGUGGAAUUCCAAGUGUAGCGGUGAAAUGCGUGGAGAGUUGGAGGAACACCAGUGGCGAAGGAGACUGUCGGGUCUGUAACUGACACUGAGGCGCGAAAGCGUGGGGAGAAAACAGGAUUAGAUCCCCUGGUAGUCCACGCCGUAAACGAUGAGUGCUAAGUGUUGGGGGGUUUCCGCCCCUCAGUGCUGAAGCUAACGCAUUAAGCACUCCGUCUGGGGAGUACGGUCGCAAGACUGAAACUCAAAUGAAUUGACGGG